rnacentral:rRNA from 1 species
UACGUAGGUGGCAAGCGUUGUCCGGAUUUACUGGGCGUAAAGAGCGCGCAGGCGGUCGUUCAAGUCGCGUGUGAAAGCCCCCGGCUCAACUGGGGAGGGUCACGCGAUACUGAUCGACUCGAAGGCAGGAGAGGGUAGUGGAAUUCCCGGGUGUAGUGGUGAAAUGCGUAGAUAAUCGGGAGGAACACCAGUGGCGAAGGCGACUACCUGGCCUGUUCUUGACGCCUGAGGCGCGAAAGCUAGGGGAGCAAACGGG